CCUUUCCACUUUGCGGGUGCGAGUGCUGCCUUGUAGCGGCAUUAGCCUACUCUUUUUCGAAAUCUACAAGGGUGUCUUUAACGUGCAAGAGAUAUGGCUAUCUUUUAACACGGGUCAGCCAUUUAUCGUCCCCUUCCGACGGACUAUCAUCGUUUCCUCAAGAUCAUACUCGCAGAUGGUGUCCAGGGAGAGCUGAAAAUUGAGUUCCUGAAAUUUUC
rnacentral:lncRNA from 1 species